UAACUCAGUGGUAGAGUGUCUGCUUCGCAUGCUGAAAGUCCUGGGUUCAAAUCCCAG
rnacentral:tRNA from 1 species